GAAUCUCACCAGAAGUAGGCUAGUCCGUUAUCAAAAGGUCAUUUUUUAAUAGUGUAGCAAUGAAUAUAUUUCACACAUAAUUCACUUUCAAACAAGCUUUCUUUUGGGCAACCCAUGCUAAAUCAGCGUGAAAAUCUCUUAAUUAGCAUGUUCAUUUUCGCGGAUUCCGAAUGACUGGCAAAAAUCACCUACCAAGUGAACUUUGGCAAAGCGCUCUAUGGAUGCUGGCUGGAGUCGCUCCUCUCGGGCACUGUUGGUUGGCAAGCGUUGAGGAUGCGAAAGAACAGCAAGGUGACUGUUUAAGGAUG